rnacentral:rRNA from 1 species
ACGCUGGCGGCGUGCCUAACACAUGCAAGUCGAACGGAGGUUAGUGCUUCGGUAUUGACCUUAGUGGCGAACGGGUGAGUAACGCGUGAGGAACCUGCCUUUCAGUGGGGGACAACAGUUGGAAACGACUGCUAAUACCGCAUAAUGUUAUUGGGGGCAUCCCUGAAUAACCAAAGAUUUAUUGCUGAAAGAUGGGCCUGCGGCGUAUUAACUAGUUGGUGGGGUAAAGGCCUACCAAGGUAACGAUGCGUAGCCGAACUGAGAGGUUGAACGGCCACAUUGGGACUGAGACACGGCCCAGACUCCUACGGGAGGCAGCAGUGGGGAAUAUUGCGCAAUGGGGGCAACCCUGACGCAGCAACGCCGCGUUGAGGAUGACGGUUUUCGGAUUGUAAACUUCUUUUCUUAAGGACGAUAGUGACGGUACUUAAGGAAUAAGCCACGGCUAACUACGUG